GCCUAGCCCCGAUUGAAGCUUUGUUUGAGCUCUUUUUUGUUUUUUUCAAACAAAAAAAGCGAGUGCGGAAAGCGGGAAAUUGC
rfam:Tenacibaculum dicentrarchi strain AY7486TD, complete genome.